rnacentral:sRNA from 1 species
CGAUGACGUAAAGAAAUGGCUCGCGUGUACGGCGUGAACUGCGAAAACGCCAACGCAAUGUUCCAAGAAGAGGACAGUAUACGUUUUGAGAAAACAUAUGAAUAAAUAUACCCAACUCAACUAACAGUAUAAGCCACAAAGUUUGCCAUUUGCGUUCGAUAAGGGGCC